rnacentral:lncRNA from 1 species
AUAUUAAAUUAACAUGAGUUUAUGUUUAGAUUUCUAUGAUUUUUAUCAAUAUCCCAUAUAACAGGCAUAUGGUAUUUGUGGGGUUUCAAAUCUCUCUCUCUCUCUCUCUCUCUCUCUCUCUCUCUCUCUCUCUCUCUCUCUCUCUCUCUCUCUCUCUCUUUCUCUCUCCGUCUGUCUGUGUUCUUGUUUGGAAGAACUAUUUGGAAGAAAUUCAAGAUUUCAAGGACGCACGGAUUUGAAUUUAACUGGAGAGGCUGAGAGCUGAGGGGAAGAGUGACAUAAAGAGGAGAGAAGUUCAUUAUCCAGCUGAAAAGGAAACCAAUGGCUUUCACAGUCUCCAUGGGAACCAGCCUUUCUUUUGCUGUCAAACCUAUGAUAAGAAACCCUCUCCUUUCUCCCACUCCAAGGCAGCCCUUUUCAAACCGGGAAGCUCCAGGUCAGUUUCCCUUUCCAAGUUUUACGGCCUGCCAUGUUGUCCAUUCUGCUCAGCUAUUUAAAAAAUGUUGAAUAUCAACAAUGGCUUUCACUGGUGUAUUGUCAACUUUUGUAUGAAGCAAUCUUGGCUGAAUGAGAUGGGUCCCAGAGCAGGGAGGGCUUGGCUGCGGCAUGCACCGCAACACCACUGGCGCCUGCCUGGCUCUCUCUCUCUCUCUCUCUCUCUCUCUCUCUGCUGCAGGCAGGAUCAGGGAGGCAGGAGCAGCCGUCCCUCUAGUCCCUGUCUCAGCCCAGCCGCUGGGGUCUGGAUGGGGCUGGGAAAGCCACCCCCUCGUCAGUCCUCUCUGCAAACUCAUCCUCAUCUCAGGUUCCCCUCCCCCUGCCUCUGGCCCUGUCGUCUGGGAGCCCCUGAAGGUGUGACACCUCACACAGGAAUCGGAGAGCAGGAGCCCGGGGGCCAGUCAGAGCUGGGUAGCCGUGCCAACCCCAUUGGAGAUGUAUGUUUGAAGAUAAUUGUAGGAAAUCCUCCACCCAACCCAGAGAAACCCUCUCCUGGUCAGCAGCAACCCUGGAGUACCCUACUACCUGACAGGGGCAGCUGGUCCCAGGGGAGCAGUUCCCCUUCCAGGAGCGACAGCAGCACCUCUCCCACCCUCCUCACCUCAACACAGCAUCACAGGCCUGGAAGAACCAGUUCAAUCACCAUCUAGAUCACAAUCACCAUUGACUACGGGUCAUUCUUGAAUUGAAUAGGCAUUUCAUUUUUCUAGAAUAAAAAAAAAUAUAUAUUUGGUUACUUCUUCCCAUUCCAAAUGAACUAAUGACAGCUUAGUUACUUUAAAAAGUCUUUAUCAUUAUGAUAAUAUCAGUGCCACCAGUAGGUGUAGUAACACCAAUGACAGUAACACCAAUGAUAAAUUGGUAAUUGAGGAUUUCCUUAAAUGGAGGCCACAUAUGCUCAAAUCUAAGGUCAUUAACACUUUAAAGAUAAUUUACAAAAGUUGUGAUUAAUCAUUUUGCUCACAAUUUAAUUUCCCUUCAUUUUAAUUGGGUUACACCAAUUACACUUUUUACUUAGAGACACCAAAUUAUCAAUGGACUCCUCAAAUGUAUGACAUACUAAAAGGGUGUAAAAAGCUAAUAAUUUUCUUUAAAGACCCGAUAACGGUUUGCCACUGCAGG